rnacentral:rRNA from 1 species
CGUAUUUAGUUGCUAACGGUUCGGCCGAGCACUCUAAAUAGACUGCCUUCGUAAGGAGGAGGAAGGUGUGGACGACGUCAAGUCAUCAUGGCCCUUAUGCCCAGGGCGACACACGUGCUACAAUGGCAUAUACAAUGAGACGCAAUACCGCGAGGUGGAGCAAAUCUAUAAAAUAUGUCCCAGUUCGGAUUGUUCUCUGCAACUCGAGAGCAUGAAGCCGGAAUCGCUAGUAAUCGUAGAUCAGCCAUGCUACGGUGAAUACGUUCCCGGGUCUUGUACUCACCGCCCGUCACACCAUGGGAGUUGAUUUCACUCGAAGCCGGAAUACUAAACUAGUUACCGUCCACAGUGGAA